GGCCCAAUCCAGAACACAGGGAAAAUAAAAAAAAAUGGGCUCAGAUUGUCAAAAACCACGUGAACCACAUGAAUCGCAUGUAACAUGUGCUCUGAAAUUCAAAAUGAACCCCCUUUUUAUCUCUUCCCUCCACCGCGUCGGAGUUUACCACCAGCGGUGGUGGAGCCACCAAUCACAAAACCAAACAUACAUAAACACUUUUAUUCUCAUGCUAAGUCUAAAUCCAAACUCAGAAUCUCCUGAAUCUUCACAGAAUUUCCAUAUUGAAGUGAGACGUUCAAGAACCCUAAAGUUAAGAACUAAAACUAAAUGGUGGAUGCAUGUAAUCAAAUUCUACAUCGUGGUAGGGCUUUGAUUCGUCUCAACCAAUGCUACAUCGUGGUAACUCAAAUGGAGCAAAAAAUGAUGAAGAUUGAUCAUGAACUCACCAGAGUACUGUGCCGGAAAUGUCAGGAGUUUGGGUAGAGGUUGGCAUGAUUUGCUGCUGAAGGCAUUGUUGGUCAAUGUGGGCUUGCUAACAUGUGCUGAAAUUCAUGGUUAUUGCUCAAGUCCAUCUCACGGCUUUGAUGGAUUGCCUUUUUGAAACCUUGAUGCAGGAUUAUGCGGAGGUAGUAAUGCUUGGCACGUUGCUACAAAAACAAGGCCAUUACAGUUCGUGUAUAAGUGUUUAGUGCAAUUAUUGUUCAUGUAUGUGUGAUUAAGAUAGGUUAAACGGUUUGGUGGUAUACUUGGCUAUGUCAUGAAAUUUGUGAAAUGUUCAUAUGCAUCAUGUUAACUGGUUGGCUGGUGUUUAUAUGUAGGAUUAUGAAGCUUGAAAGGCUAAGUUUACAAGUCCUCAUGUAAGGCACAAAAACAAAGGCUUGACCAAAUUUUGCAAGGCUUGAUUAAUGGAGGAAAUGGUGACCAUGGAAGAUAUAAGAAUGAUGCAUUUGAUGAAGUUGUGAUGAAUCUUGGAUUUUAGGAUAAAAAUAAGUGAUGGUUGACUUUGGUCAACCUUUGUAAAAAUGUAAAAUUUUGAUAUUUCUUUUGUGAUGAACAUCAUACAUGUUUAAUGAAUGAUGUAUGAGUGAAUCAAAUUUGACUUUUUGAAUGAA